rnacentral:rRNA from 1 species
UACGGAGGAUGCAAGCGUUAUCCGGAAUUACUGGGCGUAAAGCGUGCGCAGGCGGCUUUGCAAGACAGAUGUGAAAUCCCCGGGCUCAACCUGGGAACUGCAUUUGUGACUGCAAGGCUAGAGUACGGCAGAGGGGGAUGGAAUUCCGCGUGUAGCAGUGAAAUGCGUAGAUAUGCGGAGGAACACCAAUGGCGAAGGCAAUCCCCUGGGCCUGUACUGACGCUCAUGCACGAAAGCGUGGGGAGCAAACAGG